UAGCGGAGGAAAAGAAACUAACAAGGAUUCCCCUAGUAACGGCGAGUGAAGCGGGAAGAGCUCAAAUUUAAAAUCUGGUUUGCUUUGCAAAUCCGAGUUGUAGUCUGAAGAAACGUUUUCCAUGAAAGCUGAGGCACAAGUCCUUUGGAACAGGGCAUCAUAGAGGGUGAGAAUCCCGUCCAUGGUCUCAAGUCUUUCAUUUUGUGAUACGUUUUCUAAGAGUCAGGUUGUUUGGGAAUGCAGCCUAAAAUGGGUGGUAAAUUUCAUCUAAAGCUAAAUAUUGGCGAGAGACCGAUAGCGAACAAGUACCGUGAGGGAAAGAUGAAAAGAACUUUGAAAAGAGAGUUAAAAAGUACGUGAAAUUGUUGAAAGGGAACCGUUUGAAGCCAGUCUUGCUUGCUUGUGAUCAAUCUUUGCUUCGGCUUGGAUGCACUCUCAGGUUAUGCAGGUCAACGUCAGUUUGAGAGGUGGGAAAAAAGCUUGAGGAAUGUGGCCUUCGGGUGUUAUAGCCUCUUGCUAAAUACCAUCUUUUGGACUGAGGCUCGCAGCAAAAAUGUGGGCAGGUUUGCGUUUGAGGUGAUACAUUAUUAAGACAGCUUGCUGACUUAGUUUUGUCUAUCUUCACUGUAAGCUUCGCUUCUAAUUUGCUUAGGUCGUUGACAUAAUGGCUUUAAAUGACCCGUCUUGAA
rnacentral:rRNA from 1 species